GACACAAAUGCCCAGCUGCCCCCUGUUCAGUCCCACAGAGAAAAGCCUUGCAGGACAGGUUGAGUUUGUGGAUGGGCAUGGGGUAGAAGGUAUCAUCUCUUCUCUAUCAAUGACUUGGGUGAUACUUCUGGCAACAAAACAGACAGUUGUCGGCCUCUGUGUUUUCAUUUGUCCACCUGAAGAUUAGACAAGAGGCAGCAUGGGGUAGUGGAUAAAUCGUGGACCAGGAUUGAAGCGAAGAUCUGCUCAUCUGGGACACUCACCAGACGGAGUCUUGCUCUGUCGCCCAGGCUGGAGUACAGAAGUACAGUGGCGCCAUCUGCAACCUCCGCCUCCUGGGUUCAAGCAAUUCCCCUGUCUCAGCCUCCCGAGUAGCUAGGACUACAGACCCAUGCCAUCACACCCGGCUAAUUUUUGUAUUUUUAGUAGAGACAAGGUUUCACCAUAUCAGUCCGGCUGGUGUUGAACUCCUGACCUCAGGUGAUCCCCCUGCCUUGGCCU
rnacentral:lncRNA from 1 species